rnacentral:rRNA from 1 species
AUUGAACGCUGGCGGCAUGCCUUACACAUGCAAGUCGAACGGUAACAGGUCUUCGGAUGCUGACGAGUGGCGAACGGGUGAGUAAUACAUCGGAACGUGCCCGAUCGUGGGGGAUAACGAAGCGAAAGCUUUGCUAAAACAGCAUAAGAUCUACGGAUGAAAGCAGGGGACCGCAAGGCCUUGCGCGAACGGAGCGGCCGAUGGCAGAUUAGGUAGUUGGUGGGAUAAAAGCUUACCAAGCCGACGAUCUGUAGCUGGUCUGAGAGGACGACCAGCCACACUGGGACUGAGACACGGCCCAGACUCCUACGGGAGGCAGCAGUGGGGAAUUUUGGACAAUGGGCGAAAGCCUGAUCCAGCCAUGCCGCGUGCAGGAUGAAGGCUUUCGGGUUGUAAACUGCUUUUGUACGGAACGAAAAGACUCUUUCUAAUAAAGAGGGUCCAUGACGGUACCGUAAGAAUAAGCACCGGCUAACUACGUGCCAGCCGCCGCAGUAAAAC